rnacentral:rRNA from 1 species
CCUACGGGUGGCUGCAGUGGGGAAUAUUGCACAAUGGGGGAAACCCUGAUGCAGCGACGCCGCGUGAGUGAAGAAGUAUUUCGGUAUGUAAAGCUCUAUCAGCAGGGAAGAAGAAAGACGAUACCUGACUAAGAAGCCCCGGCUAACUACGUGCCAGCAGCUGAGGUAAUACGGAGGGCGCAAGCGUUAUCCGGAUUUACUGGGUGUAAAGGGAGCGUAGAGGGCUGUGCAAGGCUGAAGUGAAAGCCCAGGGCUCAACCCUGGGACUGCUUUGGAAACUGGGGAGCUAGAGUGCUGGAGAGGUAAGUGGAAUGCGUAGUGUAGCGGUGAAAUGCGUAGAUAUUAGGAGGAACACCAGUGGCGAAGGCGGCUUACUGGACAGUAACUGACGUUGAGGCUCGAAAGCGUGGGGAGCAAACAGGAUUAGAUACCCGUGUAGUC